UUGGGCGUAAAGCGUUCGUAGGCUGUUUAGAAAGUUUGUAGUUAAAUCUGGUCGCUCAACGAUCAACUUGCUACAAAAACUUCUAAACUAGAGAUUGGCAGGGGCAACUGGAAUUUCGCAUGUAGGGGUAAAAUCCGUUGAUAUGCGAAGGAACACCAAAAGCGAAGGCAGGUUGCUGGGCCAUUUCUGACGCUGAGGAACGAAAGCGUGGGUAGCGAACAGGAUUAGAUACCCUGGUAGUCCACGCCGUAAACGAUGGAUACUCGAUGUAGUGAGGAAUCGACCCCUUGCUGUGUCCAAGCUAACGCGUUAAGUAUCCCGCCUGGGGAGUACGGUCGCAAGAUUAAAACUCAAAGGAAUAGACGGGGACCCACACAAGCGGUGGAGCAUGUGGUUUAAUUCGACAGUAAACGGGGAACCUUACCAAGGCUUGACAUCUCCGGAAGCUUUUGGAAACAAAAGUGUGCCGUAAGGAACUGGAUGACAGGUGCUGCAUGGUCGUCGUCAGCUCGUGCCUUGAGGUGUUCGGUUAAGUCCGUAAACGAGCGCAACCCAUGUCCUAUGUUAAUUUUUCAUAGGAGACUGCCGGCUCCAAGUCGGAGGAAGGUAUGGAUGACGUCAGAUCAGCAUGGCCCUUAUGCCUUGGGCUACACACGUGCUACAAUGGCCGGUACAAUGAGCAGCGAACCCGUAAGGGGAAGCCAAUCUCAUC
rnacentral:rRNA from 1 species